rnacentral:rRNA from 1 species
UACGGAGGGUGCAAGCGUUGUUCGGAAUUAUUGGGCGUAAAGCGCGUGCAGGCGGUUGCUUAAGUCUGAUGUGAAAGCCCUGGGCUCAACCCGGGAAGUGCAUUGGAAACUGGGCAACUUGAGUACGGGAGAGGAUAGUGGAAUUCCGAGUGUAGGGGUGAAAUCCGUAGAUAUUCGGAGGAACACCGGUGGCGAAGGCGGCUAUCUGGACCGAUACUGACGCUGAGACGCGAAAGCGUGGGGAGCAAACAGGAUUAGAUACCCUGGUAGU